CCUGCCAGUAGUCAUAUGCUUGUCUCAAAGAUUAAGCCAUGCAUGUCUAAGUACGCACGGCCGGUACAGUGAAACUGCGAAUGGCUCAUUAAAUCAGUUAUCGUUUAUUUGAUAGUACCUUACUACUUGGAUAACCGUGGUAAUUCUAGAGCUAAUACAUGCUAAAAACCCCAACUUCGGAAGGGGUGUAUUUAUUAGAUAAAAAACCAACGCCCUUCGGGGCUCCUUGGUGAUUCAUAAUAACUAAACGAAUCGCAUGGCCUUGCGCCGGCGAUGGUUCAUUCAAAUUUCUGCCCUAUCAACUUUCGAUGGUAGGAUAGUGGCCUACUAUGGUGGUGACGGGUGACGGAGAAUUAGGGUUCGAUUCCGGAGAGGGAGCCUGAGAAAUGGCUACCACAUCCAAGGAAGGCA
rnacentral:rRNA from 1 species